GCGCGAAACCUCUGCAAUAGGCGAAAGCUUGACAGGGUUACUCUGAGUGAUUUCCGUUAAGGAGAUCUUUUGGCACCUCUAAAAAUGGUGCAGAAUAAGGGGUGGGCAAGUCUGGUGUCAGCCGCCGCGGUAAUACCAGCACCCCGAGUGGUCGGGACGUUUAUUGGGCCUAAAGCAUCCGUAGCCGGUUCUACAAGUCUUCCGUUAAAUCCACCUGCUUAACAGAUGGGCUGCGGAAGAUACUAUAGAGCUAGGAGGCGGGAGAGGCAAGCGGUACUCGAUGGGUAGGGGUAAAAUCCGUUGAUCCAUUGAAGACCACCAGUGGCGAAGGCGGCUUGCCAGAACGCGCUCGACGGUGAGGGAUGAAAGCUGGGGGAGCAAACCGGAUUAGAUACCCGGGUAGUCCCAGCUGUAAACGAUGCAGACUCGGUGAUGAGUUGGCUUAUUGCUAACUCAGUGCCGCAGGGAAGCCGUUAAGUUUGCCGCCUGGGGAGUACGGUCGCAAGACUGAAACUUAA
rnacentral:rRNA from 2 species